rnacentral:lncRNA from 1 species
GUGUGAACAAACAUAAUGAAAUGUUUCAGACGGCUUCUUUUGCUUAAGGCACAAAAUUACAGGAGUUUUUUUUUGCUUAUAUUUUGAUUAGCACCUCAUGCUGCAAAUAAUUGUGAGAUGGCUAUGCAAACAAACCCGAUAAAAAAUUUCAGAUAGGUUCCCGGCAUAAGGCAAUGUUCUAGAGUUGCUUUUUGAAGUGCAUUAUAAGGGUAACUUAUUGGAUCAUUUAGAGUGUGAAUGUGGUCUUUCUUGAUAGAGAUAGGCAUGAUAGCAAUAUACCUGCUUCAUGUCGGUUAUAUUUAGCCUCCAUAGACAAAGUGACAGGCAAUGAGCUGGAAGUAGUGACAAGGGUGGAGGCACUUCUAAGGUGUUUUAUCUCAGAUAACAACCAGACCUUAAUGCUGGUUUGUGAUGCCCUAGUUGGNNNNNNNNNNNNNNNNNNNNAAAAUUACAGGUAGUUUUUUUUUGCUUUAUAUUUUGAUUAGCACCUCAUGCUGCAAAUAAUUGUGAGAUGGCUAUGCAAACAAACCCGAUAAAAAAUUUCAGAUAGGUUCCCGGCAUUAUAAGGGUAACUUUGUGGAUCAUUUAGAGUGUGAAUGUGGUCUUUCUUGAUAGAGAUAGGCAUGAUAGCAAUAUACCUGCUUCAUGUCGGUUAUAUUUAGCCUCCAUAGACAAAGUGACAGGCAAUGAGCUGGAAGUAGUGACAGGGGUGGAGGCACUUCUAAGGUGUUUUAUCUCAGAUAACAACCAGACCUUAAUGCUGGUUUGUGAUGCCCUAGUUGGAAAGCCAGAUGGUUUCUUAGCCAAAGUCACUCCUCACUAAGGCCCCUCAAGCCACUUUAUCUAGGGGCUCUAUGUUGACAUGCAUUCAUUGACCACUUAGAUUGCUUUAUAUACAUUAUUGACCUUGUGUUAGUGAGAGGUUGAUUGGGCUGGGUUUGGACCACAGUAUUUUAGGUUUGCGGUUGGCUGUUGUCUUUCGCCUGAAUUUAUUUUGGUCUGAGUUUGUGCAAGGCUAUUGACACUGGGAAAAAACAACUGCUGUAAGGAAAUGGAGAUGCAAUAAUGUUCCAAAAUAUAUCAAGUUUAGGAAUAUUCUGUAGGAUGCGG